UCCGUGAAAAGUGGCGAUUGGCGGGGAGUAUUCUCAUCGUGGUCAACUUUUGAUUAUUACGAAGCCAACAUACAAGCGAAAAAAACCCAUCUUCUUUCUCACAUACCCCCGGGCUUCUGCGGUUAUGUGGCCACCGUAUGAUAGAUCGCCGACUGGAUGGUUCUCCCUGAGGCGUCCUCCGGGUGCCAUUGUUGCUUGCCUUAGAAACGAGACGCCACCUGCAACUCUGCGAGGACCUGGUAGCGAGGAGAUAUGUGGAGAUGAUGGACAACUGGCAACAAUGAUGCGCGGGCGGAUGACUACAAUAGGAUGUGAUCAAGAUCCUGUGAUGCCAGUUGCACUACGAAAGGUGUUCCCAUGCAUAAUCCACAGACUUUGUUUAUGGCAUGUCCAGAAUAGAUUUAUGCCAUUCCUUAAUGAAUUGUAUGCAAGAUUUACGGAACAAUACUUCAAAACCAAGUUCCAAUCUAUUGUGCAUCAUCCAUUAACACCAUAUGAGUUUGAUAAGAUGUCAAAGAGUUGUGUGUCCUACACUACACGCUCUUGUGUAGGUCAUCCACGUAGAGUGAAGAUGUUGGGAACAUGGUCGUCGUCGUGGCUACUGUAGCUAAGGCAGUUGGAGAGCUAUGGGACUCGGAUGCAGAUCCAGUCACCACCUGCCCUUGUGUCACCAUCUCCAACCCCAGCGGCGAUGAACGCGAAUCUGAGGAAGAGAUGUCGGCCAUGGCCGCCUGCACUCCCCAUACUUGUUGAGCGAUGAACAUCUAUGAGCUCACUCUUGCAAUAAAACUUCCCCCCACAGGUGAAGAGCAGGUGGCUCCAAAGGAAGACUACUAUGAGGAGUUCGACGAGGUCUAGGUCUCGUCUCCCAGUUAGCUUGUUGGCGCCAAGGGACAAUAAUGAUAUUAGUUCAUUCUAUUUAUCAUCAAUUAUUUUGUAAUACAUUUCUUUUGUAAUAAAGAUUGUGACAUUCGUCUC